AAAAUAUAUUUAUUAUGAGUUUUCUUAUCGUGCCUAACUUUUAAGAUACGCGUAUAUAAAAUUUUAAGUCUGACAUGAUCCAUGUGCGUGCCGUGCGUGUACCCCACUAAAAUAUAUUCCUAUCAUGCUGUAUUAUACGAACAGAUACUUUUACUCCUGCCGUCCGGCCUAUUAACCAUCUCUACACGUGAUGUACGGCAGAGAGUGAUCAUUCAUAGCUUUUCAGAAAGUACUUGGAAAAAGCAAACGCACACCGCGAUCGAUGUUACCAGCGUCUGCUUCGAGUGCAGCAAAACGCUUGUCGCACCCGUGGUGCUACUGCUGAAUGCGCUAAAUGGAGUACGAAAACAAUGCAUGUGAUUAUAUUAAUGAUUCAAUGACUGAUGGGGAUGAGACCACUCAAUAAAUGCUUUACUGCUUUUAAUGUUUUACCGUCGGAAGUUCACCCCAAAACAAUUAUCGGUUUACAAUCAAAUUUCUUUUUUGUGACUUUUUUUUGUUUCUCUUUUAUCCUAAUAAGUGAAAAAGCUAAUUUAUCCUAAUUAAAGGUGUUUUAAAUAGAGAGAAUAGUAUUGAGACUUGAGAGAAAAUGAAUCGAUUGAUUUAUUUCGCAGUAUGAAUAUACAGGGAGUUCGCUUGCCUUUUAUACAAUCGCUAACUAACUUGUUAACUAAGCUACUAAUCCCAACUAAUCAAGUUUAAGUUAACUAAUCCCACCUCUCAGUUUGUGUGCUUCAGAUCACAUUACCACCUGCCACCUGGGCUAAGCUGUAAUUCCAUGCCAUCAAUCUGUGGAACAAUCUCAUUGAUCACUUCUUGUUAUUAAUUUUAUUACGUUAAUUGUUAUUAUUACUAUCAUUAAUGUCAUUAAUAUCAAUAUUAAUGUUAAACUUUAGUAAUUAUUAUUAUUAUUUUUGUCACUAAUGUCAUUAUCAUUAUUAUUAUUGAAAUAUAUUAAUUUUACUAUUUUUAUUUUUAUUAAUUAUUUUAUUAUUAAAAUUUAUUAAUUAUUACUGUUUUAAUUAAUAUUAGUCAUUAUUUUUAUUUUUUUAUUUUUUUUAUUUUUUUUAUUUUUAAUACUAUUAUGAUAUGUAUAAAUAAUAUUAAAGACAAUUAAUAAAGUGUAUUUUAGUAACUUACGACAACACUUCAUUUAAUAAUCGCACUAUAAAUUGAGCAUGUGAAUUGCAUUGUCUUAAAACUCUCACGCAAGCCUCCAUAAAUCGGCAUUUGAUGUGACCAUAUUAACGGCGAUUUUUCAAUGGGUGGUGACCAGUCAAAAAGUCUGAAACUACGCGUGUAGUCACGUGAAAUGUAAGUAGUUUUACCUCAUGUUAUAAUUAAGGUAUUUACCCGGGUCAAAAAGUUCUGCUAUUUACCUCCCGUCUUCAUUUUUAUCUUCCUCUCUUCUUCAAUUCUCCUCUUCGUUUCACCAACAGAGCACAAAUUGUAGCACAAAUUGCACCACAAAUUACAUACCAAUUCAGCACAAAUUGCAGAAGUUACUUGUACAACAAUUCAUCACAAAAUACAAAGCAAUUGAAAACAAAAUGCAGACAAAUUUGUACACAGUUUCUUCCGAACCAAAAUCUCAUUUUCAUCAUCAUUCAUCCUCAACACUAGGCAUUAAGCACCUCAAUCAAGUGCGGAAAGGAAAAAUGAAUAUCAAUUGUAAUUUAACACACUUAUUUUCUUAACAUUUUAUUUCUGAAAUCAAAUAUGAAAUCCGUAAACGCCGAAACUUAGUCUUAUGUCAGAAAAUUUUCACAGUUGUUGUUCAAGCUUUUGCUCGGGUGUGGUGAAUCCAUAAAUGCCGAAACUCUAUCUUGUUCAAGCUUUUGCUCAGGUGUGGUGAAUCCAUAAAUGUCGAAACUCUAUCUUGUUCAAGCUUUUGCUUUUGCCUUGUCUGAGCCAAAUCAUGUCACCUUCGAGGAAGAUAAGAGCUUAUGGUGAAUCGAAGAGGAAGAUGAAGAGAAAGAAAAGCAGCUGCGUUUUUCUAUUUCUCUACGUUUUUUCUAUUUUUAUUAGGCAGAAACGAUUACGUUUCAAGGAAGCAAAAAGAAAAAAAAAAAAAACCAAAACGGCGUCGUUUUGGUUUAAUUUGGGGUUUGACCCGAGGAAAGUAGCAUUUUUCUAUAAUUAAAAGGCUUCACUUACCUUACAUUAUUACAUAAGGUACAUAAUUCUAAGAUAAUUAUUUAAUAAAAAUU
rnacentral:lncRNA from 1 species